rnacentral:tRNA from 1 species
AGCGUGGUAGAGGAGAGGUCGUCCUCGCUGGGCUCAUAACCCGGAGAUCGCUGGUUCGAAUCCAGCCCUCGCUACCA